UGACAUGGUCAAUAAUAGGCUCUCCCAGGAGAGACAGAAGUGAGGAUUUCAGAUCUUGGUGAUAGAAGAAAGAGCAGAAGUGGAAGACCACAGAUACUGAACAUCACAUACACUGUCAGACGCGGGUGAUAUGUUGGUACCACCUCCUUCGUGAAACCUUCUCUGAUUCCUCCAGGUACAGCUCUGAUACAACCCCCAUUCUACACUCCCCCAACACACAAGAAUGAAGGUAUUUCUUAUUAUCUGCACUGACGUCGGUAGAGCUCCUCAUAC